rnacentral:rRNA from 1 species
UUUUAACUUAAAUUUUAUUACUAAGGUAGUAUUAGUUAUGAUCUUGAAACUUAAAGAAUUUGGCGGUAUUAUAAUCUUUUUAGAGGAAUCUGUCCCGUGAUUGAUAAUCCACAUUAGACCUUACUUGAAUUUAAAGUAUGUAUAUCGCCGUAUAUUGAAUAUAUUAGAAGGUUUAAAUAAUUUUCGUGAGAUUUUAUUAUGUAUUAAUUCAGGUCAAGGUGCAGCUUAUAUUUAAGUGGAGAUGGAUUACAAUAUUUUUAAAAUAAAUGAAUUAUUUGAUGGAAUGAAUAUAUGAAGGUGGAUUUAAUAGUAAAGUUAUAAAGAUUAUUAGCUUGAUUGUAGUUCUAUAAUGUGC